CUACGGGAGGCUCCAGUCGAGAAUCUUCCGCAAUGGACGAAAGUCUGACGGAGCGACGCCGCGUGGUGGAUGAAGCCCUUAGGGGCGUAAACACCUUUUAUGAGGGAGGAAGUUUAUUGACGUUACCUCAUGAAUAAGGGGCUCCCAACUCUGUGCCAGCAGGAGCGGUAAUACAGAGGCCCCAAGCAUUAUCCGGAUUCACUGGGCGUAAAGGGUGCGUAGGCGGUGUUAUUAGUCGGGUGUUAAAUCCUGGGGCUCAACCUCAGAAUCGCAUUCGAAACGGUAACACUAGAAGAAGUCAGAGGUAAACAGAACUCUCGGUGUAGGGGUGAAAUCCGUUGAUAUCGAGGGGAAUACCAAAUGCGAAGGCAGUUUACUGGGACUUUCUUGACGCUGAGGCACGAAAGCGUGGGUAGCGAAUCGGAUUAGAUACCCUAGUAGUC
rnacentral:rRNA from 1 species